GUGAGUAGUUCAGAGUUUGAUCCUGGCUCAGGAUGAACGCUGGCGGCGUGCUUAACACAUGCAAGUCGAACGAAGCAUAAGAGUUGCUUGCAACACUUAUGACUUAGUGGCGGACGGGUGAGUAACGCGUGGGUAACCUACCCUGUACAGGGGGAUAACAGUUAGAAAUGACUGCUAAUACCGCAUAAGCACACACUGUCACAUGGCAGAGGGUGAAAAGAUUUAUCGGUACAGGAUGGGCCCGCGUCUGAUUAGCUAGUUGGCAAGGUAAAGGCUUACCAAGGCGACGAUCAGUAGCCGGCUUGAGAGAGUGAACGGCCACAUUGGAACUGAGACACGGUCCAA
rnacentral:rRNA from 1 species